rnacentral:tRNA from 1 species
UGUUAUAUGGCCGAACUGGUAAAGGCAUUGCCGAUCACAGGCAAGGCGGGUUCGAGUCCCGCUGGAACGG